rnacentral:rRNA from 1 species
UAGGGAAUCUUCGGCAAUGGACGAAAGUCUGACCGAGCAACGCCGCGUGAGUGAAGAAGGUUUUCGGAUCGUAAAACUCUGUUGUUAGAGAAGAACAAGGACGUUAGUAACUGAACGUCCCCUGACGGUAUCUAACCAGAAAGCCACGGCUAACUACGUGCCAGCAGCCGCGGUAAUACGUAGGUGGCAAGCGUUGUCCGGAUUUAUUGGACGUAAAGCGAGCGCAGGCGGUUUCUUAAGUCUGAUGUGAAAGCCCCCGGCUCAACCGGGGAGGGUCAUUGGAAACUGGGAGACUUGAGUGCAGAAGAGGAGAGUGGAAUUCCAUGUGUAGCGGUGAAAUGCGUAGAUAUAUGGAGGAACACCAGUGGCGAAGGCGGCUCUCUGGUCUGUAACUGACGCUGAGGCUCGAAAGCGGGGGGAGCAAACAGG